UACGUAGGUGGCAAGCGUUAUCCGGAAUUACUGGGCGUAAAGCGCACGCAGGCGGUCUUUUAAGUUUGACGUGAAAGCUCUCGGCUUAACUGGGAGAGGUCGUUGAAGACUGGAAGGCUUGAGGCAAUGAGAGGGGUGUAGAAUUCCCGGUGUAGUGGUGGAAUGCGUAGAUAUCGGGGGGGAAUACCAGUGGCGAAAGCGGCACCCUAGCGUUAGCCUGACGCUCAUGUGCGAAAGCGUGGGGAGCGAACGGG
rnacentral:rRNA from 1 species